rnacentral:rRNA from 1 species
AGUGAACGCUGGCGGUGUGCCUAAUACAUGCAAGUCGAACGGCAGCACAGGAAGCUUGCGCCCCUACGGGUGGCGAGGGGCGGACGGGUGAGGAGUAGAUCGGAAACCACUAAGUCGGGGAGGACAACGGAGGGAAAGAGACACUAAUACAGCAUACGAUGAACGGCAGGAAGCAGGAGAGAAUGGCAGUUUGGGUGACAGAAAGAGCUGAAGCCGGGCCGCAUUAGCUAGUUGGUAAGGGAACGGCUCACCAAGGCGACGAUCCGUAGCCGAUCUGAGAGGGUGAUCAGCCACACUGGAACUGAGACACGGUCCAGACUCCUACGGGAGGCAGCAGUGGGGAAUCUUCCACAAUGGGCGCAAGCCUGACCCAGCCACGCCGCGUGAGUGAAGAAGGCCUUCGGGUUGUAAAGCUCUUUUAUUGGGAAAGAACAACUGUGUAUUUAUCCCCCCCUGUCUUGACGGUACCUAAUCAGUAAGCCCCGGCUAACUUCGUG